CGGCACCAUCUUCGGAUAGAAGCGAGUGGCGAACGGCUGAGUAACACGUGGAGAACCUGCCCCCUCCCCCGGGAUAGCCGCCCGAAAGGACGGGUAAUACCGGAUACCCCGGGGUGCCGCAUGGCACCCCGGCUAAAGCCCCGACGGGAGGGGAUGGCUCCGCGGCCCAUCAGGUAGACGGCGGGGUGACGGCCCACCGUGCCGACAACGGGUAGCCGGGUUGAGAGACCGACCGGCCAGAUUGGGACUGAGACACGGCCCAG
rnacentral:rRNA from 1 species